GACCCAGACUCCUACGGGAGGCAGCAGUGGGGGAUAUUGCACAAUGGGGGAAACCCUGAUGCAGCGACGCCGCGUGUGGGAAGACGGUCCUCUGGAUUGUAAACCCCUGUCCCCAGGGACGAAGAUGACGGUACCUGGGGAGGAAGCUCCGGCUAACUACGUGCCAGCAGCCGCGGUAAUACGUAGGGAGCAAGCGUUGUCCGGAAUUACUGGGUGUAAAGGGAGCGUAGGCGGGAUGGCAAGUUGGGUGUUAAAUCUACCGGCUCAACUGGUAGUCGCACUCAAAACUGCUAUUCUUGAGUGAAGUAGAGGCAGGCGGAAUUCCUAGUGUAGCGGUGAAAUGCGUAGAUAUUAGGAGGAACACCAGUGGCGAAGGCGGCCUGCUGGACGACAACUGACGGUGAGGCGCGAAAGCGUGGGGAGCAAACAGGAUUAGAUACCCUUGUAU
rnacentral:rRNA from 1 species